GGGAACGUGAGUAAAAACAAAUGUGGUGAAUCUCGGAGGUUUCUCAUUGCUGAAUCCUUGAGAUUAAUCUUUAAUCCGAAAGACUCCAGGCCAAUCCUGGAGACUCGACAACUCUAAUGGAAAAGAAAGGCAGAUGUUCGAAAUCAGAAACAGCUGGAUUGUGUGAGGACGUUGUUAAAGGAUCUAAACCAGAUGGUGAAUUGGAUUGAAGAAAUUGCCAGGUGGGAAAACGUGUGCUGGGCACAGGAGAGGAAGAUAAAGAGAUCAUAUUUGAAGGAAGAGGCCAGUUUUGGAAGGGGGUGGAGCAAAGAGGGAUGGCGAGACCAGAACAUCAUAUGGUGCUGUCUAUGGAGUCAGCCAAUCAUAAAGAAGAAGGUACAUUCCAUCUGGGAGGGGAGAGGAGUGAGAAGAUGUCUUUCGCCUCCUCUUGGACAAAGUUUUACUAUGAUCAGCCAAUUCAUAAUGCUCUGUUAAUCAAUUGUACUUCUGAAGUGUACUAACUAAUAUAUGUUGGAAAAGUGACAGCCAACUGACACACAGCAGACAAUAAUGAACAACAAUGUGAUAAAGACUAAGCAAACAGUUAUCAUCUUGUUAGAUAGAGACACAAUUAAUGGCCAGGACACCAAAGAUAAUUCUUUGUGGAGAUGAAAUCAAUCUUCACAGUAACAAACCUUCCAUUGCCAUCAUUAAAUCCUCCACAAUCAUUACUAUGGGGAUUACCCUUGAUAAGAAAGUGAACUGGACUAGCCAUAUUAAUGUUUGAGCUAUAAUGAAAGGUCAGAGGUUUGGGAUUCUGUGGCGCACUCAUUGUCUCCCCAAAGUCAGUCCAUACCUAGAUGGAACAAAGCAGGAGUCAAAUGGAACAAUCUCCAUUUCCCUGCAACUCUAACAAUACUCAGGAACCUGAUGCGAUCCCAGAAAAGCAAUUUGCUUGAUUGACACUCCAUCCACCACCUUCAACAUUCACUGCCUUCAUCAUUGACACACUAUAGAAGCAGUGUAUGCCAUCCAUAAUUUGCAAUGCAGUAUUUCACCGUGGCUCCUUUGAUAGCAUCUCCCAAACUCACAAUUUCUGCUCCCUUGAAAGACAAGGACAGCAGAUAUAUGGGAACACCACCACCUGCAAGAACCCUUCCAAGUCACUCAUCAUCCUGACUUGAUAUUAUAUUGCUGUUCCUUCUGUAUCAUAGGGUUAAAACCCUGGAACCCCAUUCUUAACACUGCUAUGGGUAUAACUACAUCCCAAGGACCAGAGCAGUUAAAGAAGGCAAUCCACCAUCACUUUCUCCAGAGCAAUUAGGGUGAAGAAUGGGUAGGAAAAAUGAAUUUGUAGAGUGCAUCACUGAUUAUUUCCUUGAACUGUACAUUACCAAAUCUACUCAGGAACUGUUUUUUUUAGAUCGAGUAAUGUAUAAUGAGGUAGGUUUAAUAAGAGAGAAAACAGAAAUUGCUGGAACACCGCAACAA